GGGCCGAUCCUUCCCAUUUUCGUGAUCUCCUCCUCCCCCUGAUCAUCCCCAUGAUCUGAUCAGACGCACCAGAUUAAUCCAAACUUCAAAGCUUGAUCUAGGACGAUCUAGGCCGAACCAGACUUAGCUCCAGGUACUUGACGGUUUGAGUUGACGAGCGUUCGGAAUAUUGAUAUAUUCGACUU